GGAAAGGCCCUUCGGGGUACUCGAGCGGCGAACGGGUGAGUAACACGUGAGCAACCUGCCCUAGGCUUUGGGAUAACCCUCGGAAACGGGGGCUAAUACCGAAUAUUACUUGACCUCGCAUGGGGUUGGGUGGAAAGUUUUUCGGCCUGGGAUGGGCUCGCGGCCUAUCAGCUUGUUGGUGGGGUGAUGGCCUACCAAGGCGACGACGGGUAGCCGGCCUGAGAGGGCGACCGGCCACACUGGGACUGAGACACGGCCCAGACUCCUACGGGAGGCAGCAGUGGGGAAUAUUGCACAAUGGGCGGAAGCCUGAUGCAGCGACGCCGCGUGAGGGAUGACGGCCUUCGGGUUGUAAACCUCUUUCAGCAGGGACGAAGCGUAAGUGACGGUACCUGCAGAAGAAGCACCGGCCAACUACGUGCCAGCAGCCGCGGUAAGACGUAGGGUGCGAGCGUUGUCCGGAUUUAUUGGGCGUAAAGAGCUCGUAGGCGGCUUGUCGCGUCGACCGUGAAAACUUGGGGCUCAACCCCAAGCCUGCGGUCGAUACGGGCAGGCUAGAGUUCGGUAGGGGAGACUGGAAUUCCUGGUGUAGCGGUGAAAUGCGCAGAUAUCAGGAGGAACACCGGUGGCGAAGGCGGGUCUCUGGGCCGAUACUGACGCUGAGGAGCGAAAGCGUGGGGAGCGAACAGGAUUAGAUACCCUGGUAGUCCACGCUGUAAACGUUGGGCGC
rnacentral:rRNA from 1 species